UCAUUAGCUGAUGCACUUUUAAUCAUUAUCACUUCAUCAACAUGUAAUAAUCAAUUGCAU
rnacentral:snoRNA from 1 species